GGAGAGGUGCGGGAGUGGUUUAACCGGCACGACUGGAAAUCGUGUGAGCGGUGAUGAGCCGUUCCGAGGGUUCGAAUCCCUCCCUCUCCGCCA
rnacentral:tRNA from 1 species